AAUCGAAGAUCAAAGUUAGAUCAAAUCUUACCAGACCAUAACAGCUGAAGGAAAGGCUAGUCUAAUAAAAGUUGGAAUAUUUUGAAGGGAUUCCUUUGAAAAUCCAGUCCAGGUUUUUGCACAAGAUGAAGAAAACCCGACAUAAAGUGCCAAGAGUACAACAUUUAUCCAAUAAGAUAUAGAAUUGGCCAAAGCGGCUCCCCUACUACCUAGGCCGGACUUGAACACCAAAAUCCAACAGAGGAAAAUAUGCAGCAGAGUUGUGAUCCCUGAGCUCACCAUCAUCGGAAAUACUAUGUUCUGUGUUUGUAAAAAUCUAACAUGACACUGAAGAAGGGCAUAUGCAAAUAGGCUGGGGAUCAUGUACUGAGCAUAGCGGCCAGCUUCUUCUGAUAUAGCCGGAUCUUGACCCAUGGCUUGAAGAAUGAUGCCGGUAUUAGCCCAAACGAUGGCCAAGGGAACGCUAACAAGUGAAAGAACAAACAUAGCUCUCUGCAUAUGUAUGCCAAGCAUAUGGUACUGCUUUGCUCCAUAGGACUGGCCACAAAACGUCUCCAAGGCACACGACAUUCCCAUCUACUCAAACAAAUAGAAUUCGAUCAUUUAACAACACAACAACUUUAUUAAUGGUCAUACAUAAACAAGAAGUUUACUAUAGAGAAACAUAAUAAACUAGUAAGUUAGGAAAAUUGCAAUGUACUCCCUCUGUCCCACACUACAGGUCUCUUAAAAAUUAAGCAUAUUAAGAAAAUAUUAAUUAGAUAAUAUUUUCUCGCUUGUACCCCUAAUAAAUGCAUGGAUGUAGACUCUUAUCAACCCUUAUUAAUUGUUACACAAUUUUCAGGAAGGGUAAUUUUCAAUAUGGAUAACCGUUUUACAAAAGAAAACAUAGAGCUACUACUUUGUAUUGGCUUUUUGGAUCCUAGGAAUUAAUUUUCAAGUUUCAAUAACUCAAAAUUGGUCUUCCUUGCACAAUUUUAUCCAAAGAAUUUCUUUUUACUAGACCCGGAGUUGUUGUCAAAUCAGUUAGACAAUUUUAUCCAUGAUGUGAGAGCGGAUAAAGAUUAAUCUGGACUUCAAAGCAUAAGAAGUCUUUCUGUCAUGAUGGUUAAGACACGUUGACACACUGCUUAUCCCUUAGUUUAUCUUCUGGUUGAGUUAACUCUGAUUUUACUCGUUGUCAUUGCUACUGUUGAGAGAGUUUUUUCUACUAUGAAAACAAUCACAAUUUAUGAGCGUAAUAGGAUGGGAGAUGCAUGAGUGAAUGAUAGUAUGGUGAUAUAUAUUGAAAAAGCUAUUUAUACAAGUAUGGAUGACGAAAUAUUUCAGCCCCCUAACUCUCAGUCCUGGUCCCGCCACUGAAGUAGACAAGUAUUAUGGGAAAAAAAUUCUUUGAAAAGAGACUAUUAUUAUGGGACAAAGGGAGUACAAGAUACUAAUGUUACUCGAACUCGAGUCGCCCGCUAACUUGAGAUCUGGUAGCAUUUUAAGUGCCUGUGUGUUUAUAAGAAGCAGGGUCUUAAAAGUAGCUUCUCAUUUCUCUCACCCGUUUGUGUAAAAAAGCUAGAAAUAUUUAUAAAAAAUUGAAAAUGUUAGCUUUUCUUUCACGGCUUCUACUUCUUUUCCAAACAGUUUAAUAACUUAUAAGUCUUAACUUGCUUGUUACUUCUACUCCACUUCUUUGGUUUAAACAAGAAGUCACUAUUUUAAGCUAACCCAAACGGCUCCUAAGUUAUAUAUAUGUUCCCCUAAAACCUCAAAGUAUGAGUAUAAGAACUUAACUGGAUCAUAUUCUAACAUUCCGUAUCUAGUGAAAUAAAUAAGUAAUACCGAUGAGCAUAAUGAGAAAGGCAACUGACCAAUAAGCUGAAACCAGUAACAGAUGUGAAGGAGUUGGCCACAGAAGCACCGGAAAGAGCCAACUCUCCGAGAUGUCCAACAAACAUAACAGAAAUCAACUGCAAACAUGACUGCAGAAGACUAAAGCAAAUGAGUGGUCCAGCUAGCCACAGUUGCUUCUUCACUUCCACUACAAUAUCCUGUUUUGUAAUAACACCUUUCAAAUGUUCAUCAGCAGCAUCAUUGCCAUUUAUGAGAGGUUUGAUCAAAGAAGAUGAACUUAUCUGCUCUCCUUUGUCCAUAACUUACAAAAUAUGAUUUUAUUGCAAAACACCCAAAACAAUUGAUUAGCUGACAGGGGAAGUGUAACAUAUAGAGGCCAUUUAUGUCGGUUCAAAAUCCAGCUUCUGAACUUAUAAAUCAUAAUUACUUUAUUAGUAUUGUUUGCUUAAAAAUUUUAGAAGUCAAUUUAUGAUUUAUAAAUCAGAAAUUUCUGAUUUUUGAUGACUUAUCUUUGUUUCUAAAAUUUGAUUUUACAAAAAUCUUACAAAUAAUUUAUAAAAUUAUAUUUAUAAAAAUAUUGAACUAUAUGUCACGUUCUUGUCCCUCAAUAUAUACAACUCACAGAGAGCGAGGGAGUAAUAUAUGAUUACAAAAUUACUACAUGGGGGCCGGGGUGAUGGGGAGCAGGGAUUUUGGAUGAUUCAGCUGCCACCGGGCAGUUUUUAUAGGGUCCUCCCUCUGUCUUAUUUUAACUGCUUUUCACUUUUUUUUACAUUUUUUAACAUAAUUAUUCUAUAUAAAAUUUAUAUCAAAUAAAAAUUUAGAAUCUAAACUUUUAUUUGGUAUAAGAAUCGAAUUAUUUUAUUGAAUAUAGAUAUUAUUUUUUGACACAUUAAUAUACGUAUUAAAAAAAUCAAACAUCGCUUAAAAUGGGACUGAGGGUCUUAUGCUCCUCCAUUUAAGAAAGUACAGUGAACUCGAUUAGGUCCAAAUAUAAGUACAGUAUAUGUGAAAGGUGUGGCUAUAAAAUGAGGCGGAGAGAGCUGCUAUAAUGAUAGCUUGAUAACGAAGGCUUACCUUACCUGCUGCUAGGAGUGCAUUGGUCUCAGACUCUCAGUAGAGGGCUGAUAUGUGAUCCAGUAUCUUGCUAGCAUCUCUUCCAAGAUCUUAAAUUCCAUUUUGUCAACUGUCAUGCAGUUGGGAGUGUCUCACUGUCUGUCUCAUAAUAGUAAUGGUUUAAGAUUUCUAUUUCUAAGCUCUGUUUUAAAAGUCGGUCACGAUUAAUCACCGAUUAAUCCCUGUUCCAUAGCUCGUCGAACUGAUUAAAUCUCCGAUUAAUCACCGAUCAAUCAAAUUAAUCCCCGAUCAAUUCAAUUAAUCCCCGAUUAAUCCUUGUUUCGUAACUUCACCGAUUAAGUCCGAUUCCCGCUUUUUACAACACUAUAAUUCUAAGUGGUCACCAAAUUUAUAUAAUAUAUAGAUAUUAUUGCAUUUUAUAACCCCAAAUUUUGGCUUAUUAAUAAAUCAGACCCCAUACUAAUGUAACCCAAUCAAAUAGUGUUUUGCAAAACACUAUGCUCACGUUACUUCCUUCGCAUAGUAAUCUUAUUAUGUUUCUCAAAAAUGAUUAUUAUGUUUCUCAAAUCAGACCCCACAAUAAUGUAACCCAAUUAAAUAGUGUUUUGCAAAACACUAUGCGCACAAUGCAAACUCACUAUUAAGUCAAAAAUGACUUAAAAACCCGGAUUUCAAGGUCAAGAUAAUAUGAUCCAAUAUUUAUGUACACACCAAUUUGUUAGAAAUCACAUCCUCUGACAACACCUAAAUGACCUAGGAUACAAUAGAAUGAGCCUGUUUGGGAACUAGAAGCAACUUCCGCUUCUGACUUUUGCUUUUCUUGACCUCUUUGUGUAAAAAAGUAGAAGCAUUUUUAAGAAACUGAGAAUGCUAUCUUCUCUUUUACAGCUUCCGCUUUUUUCCAAACACUUUAUUAACUUAGAGCAUCUCCAAUAGUCUCUUAAAUCACUCCAAAAUAUAAUAUAAAAUAUUUACUCUUAGUGAUAUAAUGUAGGUUCACCUCCAACAACACCUCUUAUAUUCAAUCCUUAUUUUAUUUUAUAUUAUUAAAAGCAAGUCAUGUGCAUAAAAGCACAAAAAAAGUGGAUGGAGAGAGAAUGAGUGCUUACAAAUUUAUUAUAAAAUAUUAGUUAAGAGUGAUUAGUAGCUCCUACAAUCGAAGAGAUAAAAGAGAAAUUUAGGGAAUUUAAGAGUGACUAGGAGUCUAUUGGAGCAAGCAAAAUUACAAUGCUCUUCAAAUUUCAAUUUAAGAGCCACUAUAAAGAAGCUAUUGGAGAUGCUCUUAUUUACUUCUCACUUUUACUUCCAUACUUUACUUUAAAAAAGAAAUCUUUUUUUUAAAACUUGACCAAACGACCCCAAUACAACCCUCAGGAAAACUAGCUGAUGUCUUUUUUCAUAAUGGUGUUAAGAGUUAAAAAAUGGAUUUGAUUUAAUUGAUUCAGAUUUUAUAUCUAUAAGAUACAAAUCUUAUAAAUAUAAUAUGGGUCUUUCUAGUGUGUGCCCAAGGGCACACAUUAAGCACUAAAUUUGAUGAGUUUAGUGGAUUUUGAUUGGUGGAGUUGGUGUAAAUGCAGGGGGGCCAUCCAUAUUCAUGAUUACAUGACCAAUAAGAAUGCACCAAACUCAUAAAAAUUAGUGCUUAGUGUGUGCCCUUGGGCACACCAUAGAAAAACCGAUAUAAUAUUAACGGGUAGUCCUCAUUCCUCAAAUCACACAUGCCCAAAAGUAUGCACCAGGGACAGACAGUUUCGGAGCCACAAAUUUAAUGCCUUCAUGUUUUCGUGGGAGGGGUCUUCAGUACUCCCUCCGUUUCAAAUUACAUGUCCACUUUGAAAAAAUCACACAAUUUAAGAAAAGUGGAUGUUCACAAAUUAAUUGCAUUAAAUGAUCAAAAUAUGUGGAAUGAGAUUGAUGUAGGAAAUAUAAAUAAGAGAUGUGUGGAGUAUAAUUGAUUUUGGAAAUAUAAUUUUGCAUUGAAAGUUGAAGUGGACAAGUAAUUUGAAACAAAAAAAUUUCUUAAAAGUGGACAUGUAAAUUGAAACGGAGGGAGUAGUAUUAUUUCUCAUCUCCCAUUUCUCUGCUCAAUGUUUAUCCCUUCUGAAGUCGCGCCCUCUUAAAGAGUAUGGGGCUAGCCAUUAUGAAGAGGCUGGACAUCCUUACUCACUUAUCAAGGCCUUUUUACGAAAUCAAGACCCAUUUCUGAAAUAUCCGGCCCAACAUGGCCCAUAUAUUUUUGCUCAUAACAAUUAUUAACCCAUAAUAAUCAAAAAAUCGUCCAGAUUGUAUGAAACAGCCCGCACCCCAGUGCAAAACGAAGUUUUUAAUUUUCGAGAUGCGGCUGCGGUUGCGGUUUGAAUUUUUCACAAACCGCGAGGUGUGAUGCGAGUUGCAGAUAUUACACUUUUAAUUUUCUUCAAGACGGUUCAAACCGAACCGAACCGCACCGCACCACAAUAUUUAAUAAAUAUUACAAAAAUAAUAAUAUAUUAUAAUUAUUUAUUACUCUCGUCCCAUUAAAAUUUAACUACGAGCAGGCAACACUCAACAGUCAGUAGCUCAUGAGCCCCAAGUGCAAUUAGGUUAAAACUUGAAAUCAUACUCUGCUCUCUGUUAUUCUAGCCCAUAGCCGCACAAAUGAAAAAACCAUGUAAUAUCCUAUCUGCAAUAUCCACUUCGGAUUCAACAAUUUAAAACUUCAUGUACAUCAAGCCUGUUGAGCUUAUUAAGGUAGAUUAUUUUCUCAAAUAAUUAGAUUCUUCUCAUUGUUAGAUUUUGAUACAAAAGCAAUACAAAAUUUCAAUCAGACAGCUUCUGCUUUACGAGAUAAAUUCAACAGGGAUCGCAGAAUCAUGAACUCUAUGUUCCGCCUUCUUUGCCUGCACAAGAAAAAUAUAUGCAGUUAAACAAGUAAUUGUAAGUUGUAACAAGUUGUAACUGCAAAGUGGAAACUCAAAUAAUAAGAUAAGUGAAGGGAAAUAUGCUAUACUUCUUCAUUCCAGUUGAUACGAGCCGUGACAACAAGAAGGAAGAACACUUGAACUACUAAUGCGCAGAGGAUCCCCCACCAGAGCCCCUUCAUCGAACAAAUGUACAGGAUUGUUGGAAUGAUUAUAGUGGUAAAAAAAAUAGAUGAUGAAAAUAAAAUGUGCUCAGAAUAAUUUUUUACCUGUCCCCCAACAUGUAGAACAAAUGCGAACAGAACACCACAAGGAAGACCCACAAGAUAAUAUGCUCCCAGAUUUAUAUAUGCACCAAUUUUCUGGAAACCACAUCCUCUAACAACCCCUUAAUGACACGAAAAAGCAAUAAAUUAUUAUCAUCACAAUGACGAGAUAAAUCUCUCUUCGGUUGUACAGUUUAUGUCAUGCAGGGUUUGUAAAGGUCCUUAAGACCUUAACCUUGAUCUUCUUUCAACCAAAGAAAGGAGUAUGUAAUAGGUUACAGUUCUACUGAUACAAUGACAUUAAUGGGGUGUAUUUAUCUCUUUACUUAACUGAUAAGAAUAUAUGUGAUUAAAAAACUAUAUGAAUUUCAGAGAGAACCUGAAAGCACACACUGAAUGCCAUCAAAGAAGUUUGAAGUUGCAAGAAUGGGAAUCAUGAUCGCUACGUAUCUGACAACUUCUACUUCAUUGCUGUAAGCAUAUCCCCAAAUAUUACGAAUCAACAAUAAAAGUACUCCAACCAUAAUACCCUCUGCAAUAGCCAUCACAAAGACCACGUAAACCGCCAAUCGUGCAGUUUGCGGAUGACCUGCGCCCAAUUCAUUCGAGACCCUUGUGCUAUAUCAUAAAGGAUGAGAGGAAGUUAGAUCAAAUAGGUACAAUCUUCUUAUGAGUUUGAAAAACUUAAAGCAGAGUUUCUGAUGGAAUCUCGAGCAUUCGAGCCUAGUCAAUAUCCCUCUUCUUAACCAUUUCUAAGAAAACACCCGCUUGUCUUUCACAAAAUAAGAGAGAAAAUUUUUUAUGUGAAACAUCUCAAGUAAAACAGACAAUUGAUUUCCUUUAGAAAACUGUUUGAAAUUGAUUAGAUAACCAGACUCUCAAUACGAGAAGCUUAUACAGACCUCACAGAGGCACUGAGUCCAAAUGGUAUCAUCCAACAGUUUGCAGCAGUAUUGAGGCUGAAUACAAAAAAUCAGCAACGAAAGAUUAAAGUAAAGAAUAUGUAACAGCCGGGAAAAUAAAGUUUUUUAGUUCUGCAGAAGAGAAACCAAUGGCGAAAUUUAACCUGACUGAGAGUACUGAAGUCUCUAGCUGCGGAUUAGGAAGAAGACCAGAGAGUAGAACCAACAUUUCAAACGACCACAUUUCCAAGCUGUUGCAUGUCAGUUUAAUAAAAACUCAGGAACAACAGUAGAUUCUUAAUACAGAUGAAUUACUAGUAGAUAAGUUGUGCAUAUAAAGAGGGGCAAUCGAAGAUUAAAGUUAGAUCAAAUCUUACCAGACCAUAACAGCUGAAGGAACUGCAAGUCUAAUAAAAGUUGGAAUAUUUUGAAGGGAUUCCUUCGAAAAUCCGGUCCAGGUUUUUGCACAAGAUGAAGAAAACCUCACAUAAAGUGCCAACAGCACAACAUUUAUCCAAUAAGAUAUAGAAUUGGCCAAAGCGGCUCCCCUGCUACCUAGGCCAGACUUGAACACCAAAAUCCAACAGAGGAAAAUAUGUAGCAG
rnacentral:lncRNA from 1 species